rnacentral:ncRNA from 1 species
UGUCAUUUGGAUUAAAAGGGAAUCGGGUGUAAAUCCCGGACAGUCCCGCUGCUGUGAAGCUCCAUAACUUUCUUGAUAAAUACUUUAGCCACUGGCUGUGAAUUGGAGGCCGGGAAGGAAUCAGAAAGGGAGUCAGUCAGAAGACCUGCCAUUCGUUAAA